rnacentral:rRNA from 1 species
UACGUAGGGGGCGAGCGUUGUCCGGAAUCAUUGGGCGUAAAGAGCGUGUAGGCGGUCCGGUAAGUCCGCUGUGAAAGUCGGGGGCUCAACCCUCGAAUGCCGGUGGAUACUGUCGGGCUAGAGUGCGGAAGAGGCGAGUGGAAUUCCCAGUGUAGAGGUGAAAUUCAUAGAUAUUGGGAAGAACACCGGUGGCGAAGGCGGCCAUCUGGACGGACACUGACGCUGAGGCGCGAAAGCGUGGGGAGCAAACAGG